UGGGUCCUAUCUAGGCUUUGCCUUAUGC
rnacentral:piRNA from 1 species